CAGUCGCCACGGUAAUACGUAGGUGGCGAGCGUUGUCCGGAAUUAUUGGGCGUAAAGGGAGCGCAGGCGGACAUAUAAGUCCAUCUUAAAAGUGCGGGGCUCAACCCCGUGAGGGGAUGGAAACUGUAUGCCUUGAGUGCAGGAGAGGAAAGCGGAAUUCCCAGUGUAGCGGUGAAAUGCGUAGAUAUUGGGAGGAACACCAGUGGCGAAGGCGGCUUUCUGGACUGUAACUGACGCUGAGGCUCGAAAGCCAGGGGAGCGAACGGGAUUAGAUACCCCCGUAGUCCCUGUCUCUUAUACA
rnacentral:rRNA from 1 species